rnacentral:tRNA from 1 species
GGCCGCGUGGCCUAAUGGCUAAGGCGCUAGAUUUCGGUUAUUACACACCCUCUCUAGAGAUUCCAGGUUCGACUCCUGGCGUGGUCG